GUUGUACCCCUGUAGCGCAAUUGAUAGCGCGUUGAACUUCCGAUCCAAAAGUCGUGGGUUCGAACCCCAUCUGCAAUG